GGCUGAGCCAAAUAUGUCUAGUGGUCCUGAAGUCCCGAUGUUGAGUGGUCCUCAACUGAAUCCUUCUUGACGUCAUUACUUUUCUAGGACAAUGAGCUUGGCCCAUUUAAAAGCUACCAAGUUCCCCUCGGCAUUGUCCUGGUGUUGGUAGGUCUUCUCCAUGAACCUUCGUGUGGAUGGGGUUCUUUAUUCAGUCGGCAUAUUUCUGGUCCAUUGCUGCAACUCAGUCCAUCCAACCUGGCAAAACCGUUGAUGUCCACAUACAGUAACAUUUGCUGCGUUCUUACGUCAACAGCUACUGGAUGGGACAGGAGGAUGUAGCACCUUGGAAACAUCUUGACUAAUUAAGGACAUUUUUAUGCCAAUGGACUUCUAUCUGCCCAUGGACCUGUAAUAGUAAGCCAGGGUAUACCUGGUAAUUCUAUUCAACCACAUUGUAUAACCCAAACUGCCAGUUCAACUUCAGUAAUCUUAACCAUCAAGAUGAUCUGUAACUAUCAUA